UGGGGAAUUUUUCGCAAUGGGCGCAAGCCUGACGAAGCAACGCCGCGUGGAGGAUGAAGGUCUUCGGAUUGUAAACUCCUGUCGACCGGGACGAAUGCACCCAACCCAAUACGUUGAAGUGUUGACGGUACCGGUGGAGGAAGCCACGGCUAACUCUGUGCCAGCAGCCGCGGUAAUACAGAGGUGGCAAGCGUUGUUCGGAAUUACUGGGCGUAAAGGGCGCGUAGGCGGCCCCAUAAGUCUCGUGUGAAAGCCCUCGGCUUAACUGAGGAUCUGCACGGGAUACUGUAAGGCUCGAGUUCGGGAGAGGAAAGCGGAAUUCCGGGUGUAGCGGUGAAAUGCGUAGAUAUCCGGAGGAACACCAGUGGCGAAGGCGGCUUUCUGGACCGACACUGACGCUGAGGCGCGAAAGCUAGGGGA
rnacentral:rRNA from 1 species